rnacentral:rRNA from 1 species
GUAGGGAAUCUUCCACAAUGGACGAAAGUCUGAUGGAGCAAUGCCGCGUGAGUGAAGAAGGGUUUCGGCUCGUAAAACUCUGUUGUUAAAGAAGAACACCUUUGAGAGUAACUGUUCAAGGGUUGACGGUAUUUAACCAGAAAGCCACGGCUAACUACGUGCCAGCAGCCGCGGUAAUACGUAGGUGGCAAGCGUUGUCCGGAUUUAUUGGGCGUAAAGCGAGCGCAGGCGGUUUUUUAAGUCUGAUGUGAAAGCCUUCGGCUUAACCGGAGAAGUGCAUCGGAAACUGGGAGACUUGAGUGCAGAAGAGGACAGUGGAACUCCAUGUGUAGCGGUGGAAUGCGUAGAUAUAUGGAAGAACACCAGUGGCGAAGGCGGCUGUCUAGUCUGUAACUGACGCUGAGGCUCGAAAGCAUGGGUAGCGAACAGGAUUAGAAACCCUAGUAGUCCU